rnacentral:rRNA from 1 species
GACGAACGCUGGCGGCGUGCCUAAUACAUGCAAGUAGAACGCUGAAGAGAGGAGCUUGCUCUUCUUGGAUGAGUUGCGAACGGGUGAGUAACGCGUAGGUAACCUGCCUUGUAGCGGGGGAUAACUAUUGGAAACGAUAGCUAAUACCGCAUAACAAUGGAUGACCCAUGUCAUUUAUUUGAAAGGGGCAAAUGCUCCACUACAAGAUGGACCUGCGUUGUAUUAGCUAGUAGGUGAGGUAACGGCUCACCUAGGCGACGAUACAUAGCCGACCUGAGAGGGUGAGCGGCCACACUGGGACUGAGACACGGCCCAGACUCCUACGGGAGGCAGCAGUAGGGAAUCUUCGGCAAUAGGGGCAACCCUGACCGAGCAACGCCGCGUGAGUGAAGAAGGUUUUCGGAUCGUAAAGCUCGGUUGUAAGUCAAGAACGAGUGUGAGAGUGGAAAGUUCACACUGUGACGGUAGCUUACCAGAAAGGGACGGCUAACUACGUG